CCAGCGCUACUCCAACUACAACAACCACAGCCCCUCCAACUACACCAACCACAGCAGCUCCAACAACAAUUACAGCUGUGGUAACCUCAACCCCUGACCCUGUUACCUAUGUCAUAUCAGCAACCUUGCAAAAUGAGAUCUUUACAGACGAGUUGCUGAAUCGUACCAGCCCUCGAUUCAAAGAGCUUUCAGGAAGAACUAGAGCUCGUUGUAAUCAAAUAUAUCGAGCAAGAUUUGGUUCUGACUUUGACCAGUGUAUUGUGGGUCAGUUCAGGGCUGCUGAAGCUCAACAAACACGUGUGGAUCAAACUGAAGUAGAGCUUUCAGUUGUGUUCAAUCAGUCUGUCCCUGUUUCAGAACUACCAUUGAAUACUGUUGUUGCUCAAACCUUAAUUGAUGCUGCAAAUGAUUCAAACACCCUCAAUGUGACCUUUGGUGCCUCUUCAGUUGCAUUAGUAUCGGGUCCAGUUCCUGCCACUACAAUUGCUGCAAUGACAACUGCUGCAACUGCAACAUCUGUAACUACUACUGUUGCUCCUGCAACAGCUGCAACUACAACUGCUGAAACCACCACUGCUGCAACGACAACUGUUGCAACUACUACUGUUGCUCCUGAAACAGCUGGAACUACAGCUGCUGCAACUUCUACUGCGGCAAUUACAACUGCUGCAACUACUAGUGCUGCACCUGCAACAACUGUAACCUCAACUGCUGCAACGACAAACAAUAACACGUCCUCCCAUUCUGUUAAUCCAUGCAUUUCUUUAAUGCUGCUUUUCUUUGCCCGUAUCGUACUAAUUUAAUUAUUGAUUAACAACAACAAUUACUCUAUACUUAAUUGUCUUAAAUGAAGUGAAGGAACACAUGCAGCUUAUAGUGGACUGUACACAACAAUGUUAAAUUAAUGCCAAAAGUUUUAUCACGGGUAAUGGUAUAAAUUAAUAUAUAGGUCAAAACAAUGCACUCUCAAUUUUUGUAUUUAAUCAUGCAUACCUGUAUUCUGUGAGAUUGCUAAUGCUUUCUAAUUUAUAGUGUCUGUCAGUAAUGUUAAAAUGAUCAGAAUACAAAAUAUUUAAAGAACCUAAAUUGUCUCUUGUGUGAUAUUAUCCAGUCUCAAAGGGUAGAAAAGAAUGUGCAUCAGGCCAUGUUUAAUGUCAGGCAUUUGUGAUGUUUACAGGCAACUAGAAAAAUUAGCAUUUCCUGCAAAAAUACAGUAUGAAUGCUGACGGCUGAAGUGAUUUCCGUAAAUCUGCUAAAUGUACUGGAAAAUACUUGCCUGAAAUGCUUAAAACUAUCAUGCAUUGCAUUACACUGCCGAAGCAGUAGCAGAACUAAAGUUUAAAAUUUCCC